CACAGAGGAGCCAAGCGUUGUCCGGAUUGACUGGGCGUAAAGCGCACGCAGGCGGAUGCGCGCGUGGGGUGUGAAAUCUGGCCGCUUAACGGCCAGGCGCCAUCCCAUACGGCGCGUCUGGAGUGAUGCAGAGGUCGAUGGAAUUGCCGGUGUAGUGGUGAAAUGCGUAGAGAUCGGCAGGAACACCCAGGGGGAAACCAGUCGACUGGGCAUCUACUGACGCUGAGGUGCGAGAGCGUGGGGAGCGAACCGG
rnacentral:rRNA from 1 species